CUGGGAAGAGCAGAACAAGACCAAGCAAAUUGGAUUACUAUGGUGACUGCGUGUCAUGCUGGGGUCUACUGAAGUGAAGUCCACUGUUCCUUCAUUCAGAUUCUUCCUUGUGCCUCCCUCUUUGCAGGUGCUGGUCGACAAGGAGUCACGCCAACAUCUCAGAUCUAGGAAUAGGGAUGACAAUCCAUCUCUUCCAAAUGGUGUUUCUAUAUUUACAGCAAGUUCCAAGAAGCUCUUGUGUACUGUUCUUCCUGCUUGCUGACUGAGGAAGAAUAUCAGACAGAGAAAGAAUUAGCGAGCUUCUUCUUCAUCUACAUCAAAAGGUUAUAAUAAGCAUUCACCAUGUAAUUACAGCUACAAGUAACAGUCCUUCCAGUUAUUUCUCUGUGUUUUUCUGUUUUGAACAAUUUACUUAUUAUUUUAUUUGAUAGCUUUUAGAGCUACCUCUGCAAAAGAGUGAGCAGGAGUCUCCAAACUGUUGUGGCUCAAUGCAGCUGCAUAUCUGAAAAAGAAAGAGAUUGUCGAAAUAUACACAUUGGACCAAAUCUGGAAAUCUGUACUUCAUUUUUUAUUUUGGGUAAAAAGUUUUCAAAGGUGCCUAAAGUCCCAUUUUCCAAAGUGCCUAACUCCAAUGGACUUUCAGUGAAAGUAGGUGCCUAACUCACUUAGCAAUCUUGAAAAUCCCAUCCCUAAGUGCCUAAACCACUUUUGGAAAUGGAAGUUAGAAUUCUAAGUCACUUACGCAGACAACAUUUCCACUUAAGUUAAAAGCUGAGUGAGACUUUAGAUUGGGCCCAAUAUUAAUGUUGUCAGAUUUUCAUGUAACACAAAAAGUAAUUGUUUUGUUUAAAUCUUGCCCUCUGUCCACCUUUUUGA